GUACACAAAGACGGCCGAUAAAAAUUGUGAAAUCCCGGGGUGACGUCACAUGCAAACCAACAAUUCGUAAGUUCAGCUCGACUACAAUAAAUCCUUAUUUCGCAGAAGAGCAAUUACUGACCAACUCUUCUUGCAUAUUGCCCUAUUUCUAUUUGGACGCCUGUAAUAGCAUCGAAGCCGGAGCUUAUUCCCCAGUCAUGAUCACCGAAAUGCUCAGUUCUGCUUGCGUCGUCCUAUUAGUUGUUGUUAUCUGCUGUGUGAUCAAACUCUACAACAUGGUAAAAAUCAUCCGACCAUCAGGGAAUGAAAGAGCUCGUGUGGAGUACGCCAGAGAGAAUCAGAGAGCCUUACCAGUAGAGGGGGAACCCACACUUCCUUUUCCUCGUGUAGAGGAAAGCGCAAGACAACAUUGUACAUGUAACAAUACAACCUACGGCGGAUUACAAGCGAUACGACGACAGCCACAAAUGCAUGACGAACGUUUUAGGAGGCAACAGCUACAGUUUACCACUGAAGACGCAGUGGACUUGCCUGAGUAGGCUUACUAAGAUUUCCACAAAUUUUCCGCGUUCCUGUGGUGAACUGGCUUUCUCCAGGGAAAGUGAAUGACAUUGUGUCGAUGGACAACAGUGAUAUAUUUUUUUAAUAUGAAAAACGGCCUAUACUUUAUACUUAAUACUCAUGCAUAUACUUUACAAUUGAAACUGUGUUUAAAAUGGCCGAUUUGAGAAAAAAGUCUGUGUACAAAUAAAACUAGAUGGCCCUAAAAACAGUAA